rnacentral:piRNA from 1 species
UUGUUUUCUGUUUCCUCUCUGCAG